GACGUAGGGUGCGAGCGUUGUCCGGAUUUAUUGGGCGUAAAGAGCUCGUAGGCGGCUCGUCGCGUCGUCCGUGAAAACCCGCGGCUUAACCGCGGGCUUGCGGUUGAUACGGGCGGGCUAGAGUUCGGUAGGGGAGACUGGAAUUCCUGGUGUAGCGGUGAAAUGCGCAGAUAUCAGGAGGAACACCGGUGGCGAAGGCGGGUCUCUGGGCAGUAACUGACGCUGAGGAGCGAAAGCGUGGGGAGCGAACAGG
rnacentral:rRNA from 1 species